rnacentral:tRNA from 1 species
GCUCCCGUGGCUCAGUGGUUAGAGCGCGGUACUUAUAAGUUGUAAAAUUAUGGUAACAGCAGAGUAAUGCUGAGGUCGCGAGUUCAAUCCUCGCCGGGAGCA